rnacentral:rRNA from 1 species
GACUGGAUAGGAAGAUAAAAGGCAUCUUUUAUCUUUUAAAAGACCUAGUAAUAGGUAUGCUUUAGGAGGGGCUUGCGCCAUAUUAGUUAGUUGGUAGGGUAAUGGCCUACCAAGACGAUGAUGUGUAGCUGGACUGAGAGGUUGAACAGCCACAUUGGGACUGAGACACGGCCCAAACUCCUACGGGAGGCAGCAGUAGGGAAUUUUCGGCAAUGGAGGAAACUCUGACCGAGCAACGCCGCGUGAAUGACGAAGUACUUCGGUAUGUAAAGUUCUUUUAUCAAGGAAGAAAAGCAAAUGGCGAACCAUUUGUUUGCCGGUACUUGAUGAAUAAGCCCCGGCUAAUUAUGUGCCAGCAGCCGCGGUAAGACAUAAGGGGCAAGUGUUAUCCGGAAUUAUUGGGCGUAAAGGGUGCGUAGGCGGUCUAGUAAGUCAGUGGUGUAAUGGCAACGCUUAACGUUGUCCGGCUAUUGAAACUGCUAAACUUGAGUUAGAUAGAGGCGAGUGGAAUUCCAUGUGUAGCGGUAAAAUGCGUAAAUAUAUGGAGGAACACCAGAGGCGUAGGCGGCUCGCUGGGUCUUAACUGACGCUGAGGCACGAAAGCGUGGGGAGCAAACAGGAUUAGAUACCCUGGUAGUCCACGCCGUAAACGAUGAGUACUAAGUGUCGGGUUAAACCGGUACUGAAGUUAACACAUUAAGUACUCCGCCUGAGUAGUACGUACGCAAGUAUGAAACUUAAAGGAAUUGACGGGACUCCGCACAAGCGGUGGAUCAUGUUGUUUAAUUCGAAGAUACCCGAAAAACCUUACCAGGUCUUGACAUGUUUUUGCAAAAUGAUAGUAAUAUCGUGGAGGUUACCAGAAACACAGGUGGUGCAUGGUUGUCGUCAGCUCGUGUCGUGAGAUGUUAGGUUAAGUCCUAAAACGAGCGAAACCCUUAUCGUUAGUUGCCAGCACGUUAUGGUGGGGACUUUAACGAGACUGCCAAUGAUAAAUUGGAGGAAGGUGAGGAUCACGUCAAAUCAGCAUGCCCCUUAUGACCUGGGCUACAAACGUGAUACAAUGGCUGUUACAAAGGGUAGCUGAAACGCAAGUUCUUGGCCAAUCCCCAAAAACAGUCCCAGUCCGGAUUGAAGUCUGCAACUCGACUUCAUGAAGUUGGAAUCGCUAGUAAUCGCGAAUCAGCAUGUCGCGGUGAAUACGUUCUCGGGGUUUGUACACACCGCCCGUC